UACGAAGGGGGCUAGCGUUGCUCGGAAUCACUGGGCGUAAAGCGCACGUAGGCGGCUUUCUAAGUCAGGGGUGAAAUCCUGGAGCUCAACUCCAGAACUGCCUUUGAUACUGGAGUGCUUGAGUCCGGGAGAGGUGAGUGGAACUCCGAGUGUAGAGGUGAAAUUCGUAGAUAUUACGGAAGAACACCAGUGGCGAAGGCGGCUCACUGGCCCGGUACUGACGCUGAUGUGCGAAAGCGUGGGGAGCAA
rnacentral:rRNA from 1 species